UGAGUGAUGAAGGCUUUCGGGUCGUAAAACUCUGUUGUUAGGGAAGAACAAGUGCUAGUUGAAUAAGCUGGCACCUUGACGGUACCUAACCAGAAAGCCACGGCUAACUACGUGCCAGCAGCCGCGGUAAUACGUAGGUGGCAAGCGUUAUCCGGAAUUAUUGGGCGUAAAGCGCGCGCAGGUGGUUUCUUAAGUCUGAUGUGAAAGCCCACGGCUCAACCGUGGAGGGUCAUUGGAAACUGGGAGACUUGAGUGCAGAAGAGGAAAGUGGAAUUCCAUGUGUAGCGGUGAAAUGCGUAGAGAUAUGGAGGAACACCAGUGGCGAAGGCGACUUUCUGGUCUGUAACUGACACUGAGGCGCGAAAGCGUGGGGAGCAAACAGGAUUAGAUACCCUGGUAGUCCACGCCGUAAACGAUGAGUGCUAAGUGGUAGAGGGUUUCCGCCCUUUAGUGCUGAAGUUAACGCAUUAAGCACUCCGCCCGGGGGAGUACGGCCGCAAGGCUGAAACUCAAAGGAAUUGACGGGGGCCCGCACAAGCGGUGGAACAUGUGGUUUAAUUCGAAGCAACGCGAAGAACCUUACCAGGUCUUGACAUCCUCUGAAAACCCUAGAGAUAGGGCUUCUCCUUCGGGAGCAGAGUGACAGGUGGUGCAUGGUUGUCGUCAGCUCGUGUCGUGAGAUGUUUGGGUUAAGUCCCGCAACGAGCGCAACCCUUGAUCUUAGUUGCCAUCAUUAAGUUGGGCACUCUAAGGUGACUGCCGGUGACAA
rnacentral:rRNA from 1 species